UAAGCAAAUUUUUAGGAAAUGAAAAUUAAUAUACAGGGUACACAAGUUUUAACCAUGGUUAGGAAAGUCAAGAAACAUAAUCCAUGCCCUUGCCUGGUGGUUGGGGAGCAUUGUAACUUACUGGUGCACAACUUGUAUUUGCAUGCCAAAAAAGACAUAUUUAUUUUGUAGGGUAUGGUGUUUUCACUACAGAGCCUUUUAGGGCAGGAGACUUUAUUCUACAGUACUUUGGUGAGAAAAUAACAGAGGAGGAAACAACAAAUAGAAUGAAAAAAUGCCAUGCAGAAAACAAUUUUUUACAUAUUAAAAGGCAGGAAAUGGUGAAGUUGCUGAACGCCAUGUUGAGGUUAAGGAAGUUGCGGAACACCUUAAUGUGGCUGAGGAAGUUGCUGAGCACCAUGUCGAGGGUAGGGAAGUUGCUGAACACUAUGACAAGGCUGAGCAUCAAGUAACAUCAAUGAAAGCUCAUGCAAAAGAAAAUCUGAAUCCUUAAAAGAAGAAAGAAGAAUACAUCUGCACGUGGUUCCGGAGGAGUGACGGUUUUUGUUAAAGACUGGUUGAUCAAACGUGGGUCUAUAAAACAUAUAUUUGAUAAUAUUACUGAAUGUGUAGUGCUAUUAAUUAGUGCUGAAUCUAUGAUUUAUGUGAAUGAUGUUAUUCUUAUAUUUACAUAUGUAUCUCCAGAAUACUCGUCUAUUUAUUCGAUUGAAGAUAAUAAUGGUAUUGAAAUUUUGAAUACAAGUAUUAGUCAGAUUAAAGGUAAAUAUCCCGAUGCAGAAUUAUUUUUGGCGGGAGAUUUAAAUUCACGUAUAAAAAACUUCAAUGACUUUGUGUUAGAUGAUAAUCUAUUGUUUAUAUUUGGUGAUGAUGUACCAUACCCAGAAGAUGAUUUUAAUAUGCAUAGAUUAUCUAAAGAUACAGAGUUUAAUCGUUUUGGAUUAUCACUUAUUGAAUUAUGUUAUACAUGUUUUUAAUGGAAGAUUUUUUGAUGAUAUUCCUGGUAACUAUACUUGUUUAGCAAAUAAUGGAGCCAGUGUUGUAGAUUAUAUGGCAGCUACUACUAGUUUGUUUAAAUAUGUAACAUAUUUUAAAGUUGAUAAUAAUGACGAGUCUGUA